AUUUUUUUUCCAGGAGAAACUUGGAGGCCCAUAUUUCCUGAACCUGACUAUGGCCUUCAGUGCCACACCAGCAGCCUCUGCAAAAUUAUUACCCCAGAUUUGUAAGGAGAACCUUCAAAGGGAGCUUGCUCCAGCCGACACCUGGGUUUCAAACUUCUCACAUCCACAACUAUCAGAAGAUUAGUUUCCGUUGUUUUAAGCCAUCAAAUUUGUGAUCCUUUGUCACAGCAGCCAUGGGACACUAAUACACUGAGGGACUGCUGGCUGCUGACAGCUCAGACCCAAGCCCUCUCUGGGUAUUGCCUUCUGCCAAAGGAUGCGGUCUCUCCUCUGGGGACAGCCAUCCAAAGACUGGUCACUGUGGGAUACACAGUGCCACCCCUAGCCUCGUUGGGACAGCUCUGCAGGACCACCCAGGUCUUGAGCUCCUGGUGGAACCAGUGGAGGCCUCUGCCGCAAUGGCAUCACAGCUCAGCCUCUCCCUUUGCC